rnacentral:tRNA from 1 species
GCGUCCGUAGCUCAGUUGGUUAGAGCACCACCUUGACAUGGUGGGUGUCGGUGGUUCGAGUCCACUCGGACGCACCA